UUACGGCCACAACACGUUGAAACUCCGGUUCCCGUACGAUCACCAAAGUUAAGCAAUGUUGAGUUUGGUCAGUGCUUAGAUCGGUGACCACC